rnacentral:rRNA from 1 species
GAUGAACGCUGGCGGCGUGCCUAAUACAUGCAAGUCGAGCGAACAGACGAGGAGCUUGCUCCUCUGACGUUAGCGGCGGACGGGUGAGUAACACGUGGAUAACCUACCUAUAAGACUGGGAUAACUUCGGGAAACCGGAGCUAAUACCGGAUAAUAUAUUGAACCGCAUGGUUCAAUAGCGAAAGACGGUUUUGCUGUCACUUAUAGAUGGAUCCGCGCCGCAUUAGCUAGUUGGUAAGGUAACGGCUUACCAAGGCAACGAUGCGUAGCCGACCUGAGAGGGUGAUCGGCCACACUGGAACUGAGACACGGUCCAGACUCCUACGGGAGGCAGCAGUAGGGAAUCUUCCGCAAUGGGCGAAAGCCUGACGGAGCAACGCCGCGUGAGUGAUGAAGGUCUUCGGAUCGUAAAACUCUGUUAUCAGGGAAGAACAAAUGUGUAAGUAACUAUGCACGUCUUGACGGUACCUAAUCAGAAAGCCACGGCUAACUACGUG